rnacentral:rRNA from 1 species
AUUGAACGCUGGCGGCAGGCCUAACACAUGCAAGUCGAACGAGUGGCGGACGGGUGAGUAAUGUCUGGGAAACUUCCCGAUGUCGGGGGGUAACUACGGUAAACAGUAGCUAAUACCGCAUACGAUCUUAUGUUCCCAGAUGGGAGUAUCUUGUUGGUGGGGUAACGUCUCACCAAGGCGCCGCUCCCUAGCUGGUCUGAGAGGAUGACCAGCCACACUGGAACUGAGACACGGUCCAGACUCCUACGGGAGGCAGCAGUGGGGAAUAUUGCACAAUGGGCGAAAGCCUGAUGCAGCCAUGCCGCGUGUAUGAAGAAGGCCUUCGGGUUGUAAAGUACUUUCAGCGGGGAGGCGUUACCCGCAGAAGAAGCACCGGCUAACUCCGUGCCAGCAGCCGCGGUAAUAG